GUAUACGUAACAAUAAAAAGGAUUGUUCUGUAGAAAACAGCGCAGAAAUUGGGAAGAGAAUAAGAAAUUAAUGAACAUUUCCGGGUGAAUACGAAGAUUAGGAAUUGAAUUUGCAAAUAAGUAGUUCAAAUUUUAAUAAUAGCAUUUGAGUUUAACCAACUGUAUGACUGAAAAAAUCCUCAAGGACCUACAUCAAAGUCUUCAAAUAAAUCUUACGAGAUUCAAGAGAAUUUUACUUAUCGAUGUUAGCUAUCAUAUUUACGCUGAGAAAUAUGGAUUAUUCAACCAACAACUAUUCAAUUUCGUGUUAUGUAUUAUACUUAUUAUUUAUUGAUUUCAUAAUAUGAAUAGUACAAAACCCAUUAAGAGGUCGUUAUUUAUUAAAUUCUUUUCCUUUUUUCCAGCUUACUGCGGCUUAAUUGUUUGUUACAUUUUGUACAACUUUGUGUGUGAUUCAUAUGCAUGGGAUACACACAAUAUAAUUAUAUUUAUUAUACAUGUCACACAUGCAUACACACCUACGUGUGUGUAUAACGAGAUACAUACAAUACAUACCCUUUACCACUAUAUGUACACACAUUUUAGGAUAAAUGUAUAUGAAUUUAUACCUGUACAUGUAGGUACGUAUGUAAUUAUGUGAAAUGAAAUAUGGUUAAAUGCAGCAAAGUCGUCGUUGAUUACGUUUGCAGAAUCGUACAGGAAUCUAAUCAUGUGUUAUUUCUUUAUGUUUCGUUUGAUUUUUUUUCUGAUUUUCAACCAAAAAAGGUUGCAUAGAAUGAUACGUGACAGCUGUCGUCUUUCAAGCCUUUAAUUAUAAACAUUAUUUUCAUUAGCGGUUUAAAAUAAGCAUUUCACCGUAAUUGAUAGUGAAUAAAAACCGUCCGCAUUCAAUUAUGUCACAAUACACAGUGAUCGAUUGUUACGAAAAUGAAAUAAUUUAUAGUUUCCCAAUGAAGCACAUAUUGGCCUUUCUCUCACUAUUUUUUUCGCACCAACCUGCGACUAUGGCACAACUUCAAAUAAUUCAACAUCUUAUUCCUUAUAAAUGGCUUUUUUCUCCAUAAAAUAUUAUUAUUCAUCACAUUUGAUUCUAGGUGUACAUAAUUUU